UAUAAAACAAAGAAGAAGUUCGAGGAACCGAGAGAGAGAAAGGGAAAAUGUGAAGAGAGAAUGUGAUUUUUGAGGGAGAUAAAGGGAAAAGAAGAUGGAAUCAAGAGUUUGAGACUUUCAUAGGCUUGGAUUCCAAGAUUUCUUCAAGAUUGAGGUUUGAGCUUGGAUUGAAGUGUGGAGAUAGGAGGAGAAGUGGUUGAGCUAAGGAUUGAAGAUUUGGGGCAAGGUUAUUGAACUUGGAAGAUUGGUGGCUAGAGUUAUGGUGAGAUUUUGCUCAAACGAGAUAGGGAUUUUCUUAGCCCUUAAUCUCAAAACACUAUUGGCUACCCGAAUUGUGUUAAAUUCAUUAGUUUCCGCCUUUUUGUUCAAGGGGAAACAAACCUUGGAUUAUGUGCUAUUGUGAACUCAAAUUGCUAUGUUGUGUGUUUA